GGAGGAGCCGGUGGUCAGGCGGCUCCCCGGAAAGCACCCCCGCCCCCGCACGUCCCCGACCCCGGCACCGGCUGCUUCUCUCUUUUUCUUUUCAACGGCGACGAGCGGCAGCGACAGCCUCGGAUUCCCGAGGGUCCGCCCAUGGGGGCGCCGGCCCAGGUGAGCCGCUGCAGGAUGCGCGCCGGCAGGUGCACGCGCCCCCCGGGCGGCGGACGAGGGAGCCCGGCGGCGUCUGCCCGCGCUAGUCUCCGGGCUGGCAAAUCCCACACGACACGGAGCAGAAACACGUGCCGGCGCUCGGAGCGGGCACCAGCGUGACUUCCCCGCAGACGGUGGCGAUGGGCACCCCCGCCGGGGGCGCCGUCGAGGCCGCUCCCGCAACGACCGCCCGCGCCCAGGCCUUUAAGCCAGGAUUUGUUCUGGCCAAAGCAGCGGCGGCAUCUUCUGGAAGCUUCCUCCCUGCAGCCCGAGCUCCCCACUGCCUGCACGUGGCUCCACCGAGUCUUCAGCGAGCCGCACCUUCAGUGACGACUUUGCCACUGGUGCGAAGACCCGCGGUGGAUCCUUGUCCUGAGUCGCAGAGUUCCCAGUUGCCGUCACGGCCCGAUGAGAACGCUCACCCUGCUGGCUUCGGGAAGCGCCUCCCAGGGCAGCCGCGUCGGCUGUGAUGGUCGCUUGGCGGUAAGGCUCUGCUUGUGUCACAGCCGCAGGGCGGGAGGGGAUGUGCGGGUGCUCCCGGUACCGAGCCACGC
rnacentral:lncRNA from 1 species